UACUUUGCAGGUACCACUAACUGACGAUUCGGCGGAGGGGCAACACUCUUCUGGAAAGGCUUAGGGAUCCUGUAUAACCGGUCCCCCACCCACUCAUACUGUUCCCCAUCUUCUCCUUCCUCUCCAGCAUCUGCCCUAUCUCGGUAUUUCUGGAGAGUCGGGUCUACCGGGUUUCCCUCCCAAACUCCUUAAGCCUUACUAAGCUUAAGGUGACCUGAUCUAAGGUACCAGUCGGGGAAGAGGGUCUUACCUGGGUCUCAUCAGCAGGUGGGCCGGAUCCAGCAGAACGGGUCUGGGCACGAGUAGUCACUAGGUUAUCGUCCGCAGGGCCCAUCGGGGCAUAGGCUGAAACUAAGGGGGCCAGAUCAUUCCCAAGGAGGACAUCAGCGGGCAAGUCUUUCAUAACCCCCACAUCCACGUGUCUAGCGCCCACUCCCCAAUCCAAAUGUACCCGGGCAACAGGUAAACGAAACACGGCACCCCCUGCUACCCUCACCGCCACAGUGUCCC